rnacentral:rRNA from 1 species
UCUGUUUGAUCCUGGCGGAGGUUACUGCUAUCGAGGUUCGACUAAGCCAUGCGAGUCGAAUGUAGCAAUACAUGGCGUACUGCUCAGUAACACGUGGACAACCUACCCUUGGGACGGGGAUAAACCCGGGAAACUGGGUAUAAUACCCGAUAGGUCUCGANUGCUGGAAUGCUUCGAGAUUUAAAACUCCGGUGCCCAAGGAUGGGUCUGCGGCCUAUCAGGUUGUAGUGGGUGUAGCGUACCUACUAGCCUACGACGGGUACGGGUUGUGAGAGCAAGAGCCCGGAGAUGGAUUCUGAGACACGAAUCCAGGCCCUACGGGGUGCAGCAGGCGCGAAAACUUUACAAUGCCGGCAACGGCGAUAAGGGAACCUCGAGUGCCAGGUUACAAAUCUGGCUGUCGUGAUGCCUAAAAAGCAUUGCAUAGCAAGGGCCGGGCAAGACCGGUGCCAGCCGCCGCGGUAACACCGGCGGCUCGAGUGGUAACCGUUAUUAUUGGGUCUAAAGGGUCUGUAGCCGGCCGGGUAAGUCUCUUGGGAAAUCUGGCAGCUUAACUGUCAGGCUUUCAGGAGAUACUGCUUGGCUCGAGGCCGGGAGAGGUGAGAGGUACUUCAGGGGUAGGGGUGAAAUCUUGUAAUCCUUGAAGGACCACCAGUGGCGAAGGCGUCUCACCAGAACGGACCUGACGGCAAGGGACGAAAGCUAGGGGCACGAACCGGAUUAGAUACCCGGGUAGUCCUAGCCGUAAACGAUACUCGCUAGGUGUCGGCCACGGUGCGACCGUGGUCGGUGCCGUAGGGAAGCCGUGAAGCGAGCCACCUGGGAAGUACGGCCGCAAGGCUGAAACUUAAAGGAAUUGGCGGGGGAGCACCACAACGGGUGGAGCUUGCGGUUUAAUUGGAUUCAACGCCGGAAAUCUUACCGGGACCGACAGCAAUAUGAAGGCCAGGCUGAAGACUUUGCCGGAUUAGCUGAGAGGUGGUGCAUGGCCGUCGUCAGUUCGUACUGUGAAGCAUCCUGUUAAGUCAGGCAACGAGCGAGACCCA